AACCAUCAAUGAGAGCACUAUAUGCAGUAAUAUCCAGUUCCAAACCCUUCUUUUUCAUAUCAUCAUACAUUUUCAAAGCAAGACCGAUCUUAUUAUUUUGCAAAAUCCAUUAACCAAACAAGUA
rnacentral:miRNA from 1 species